rnacentral:rRNA from 1 species
UACGGAGGGUGCAAGCGUUAUCCGGAUUCACUGGGUUUAAAGGGUGCGUAGGAGGGCAGGUAAGUCAGUGGUGAAAUCUCCAAGCUUAACUUGGAACUGCCGUUGAUACUAUCUGUCUUGAAUACCGUGGAGGUGAGCGGAAUAUGUCAUGUAGCGGUGAAAUGCUUAGAUAUGACAUAGAACACCAAUUGCGAAGGCAGCUUACUACAGGGAUAUUGACACUGAGGCACGAAAGCGUGGGGAUCAAACAGG